rnacentral:misc_RNA from 1 species
GCAAACUUGGUCAUUUAGAGGAAGUAAAAGUCGUAACAAGGUUUCCGUAGGUGAACCUGCGGAAGGAUCAUUACCGAGUGUUGGUUGCGUUCUCGUAACCGCCUCCCGUCCUAUGCCUUCAAAAAAAGAUUUGCUUCGGUGGGGGAACCCACCGAUAGCACGCUUUUAAACUCUUGAAAACGGGGCCGUCUGAGCGAAAACACGAAUCAAAAAAAACUUUCAACAACGGAUCUCUUGGUUCCGGCAUCGAUGAAGAACGCAGC